rnacentral:rRNA from 1 species
GACGAACGCUGGCGGCGUGCUUAACACAUGCAAGUCGAACGGUGAAGGGGAGCUUGCUCUCCGGAUCAGUGGCGAACGGGUGAGUAACACGUGGGCAACCUGCCCCAGACUUCGGGAUAACGCUUCGAAAGAGGUGCUAAUACCGGAUACGAACUCCUUGGGCAUCCUUGGGGUUGGAAAGUUUUUCGGUCUGGGAUGGGCCCGCGGCCUAUCAGCUUGUUGGGGAGGUAACGGCUCACCAAGGCGACGACGGGUAGCCGGCCUGAGAGGGCGACCGGCCACACUGGGACUGAGACACGGCCCAGACUCCUACGGGAGGCAGCAGUGGGGAAUAUUGCGCGAUGGGCGAAAGCCUGACGCAGCAACGCCGCGUGAGGGAUGACGGCCUUCGGGUUGUAAACCUCUUUCAGCAGGGAAGAAGCGAAAGUGACGGUACCUGCAGAAGAAGCACCGGCUAACUACGUGCCAGCAGCCGCAGUAAAAC